AGAACGAACGCUGGCGGCAUGCCUAACACAUGCAAGUCGAACGCUCUUGGGAUUUCGGUCUCAAGGGAGUGGCGCACGGGUGAGUAGCGCGUGGGAACCUGCCCUGUUGUGGGGGAUAACCGAGGGAACUUCGGCUAAUACCGCAUGCGCCCCCGGGAGUGAUCCUGGGGGGAAAGAUUUAUCGCAGCAGGAGGGGCCCGCGUCGGAUUAGGUAGUUGGUGGGGUAACGGCCCACCAAGCCUGUGAUCCGUAGCUGGUCUGAGAGGAUGAUCAGCCACACUGGGACUGAGACACGGCCCAGACUCCUACGGGAGGCAGCAGUGGGGGAAUAUUGGACAAUGGGCGCAAGCCUGAUCCAGCAAUGCCGCGUGAGUGAUGAAGGCCUUAGGGUUGUAAAGCUCUUUCGCCCGCGACGAUGAUGACGGUAGCGGGAGAAGAAGCCCGGCUAACUUCGUGCCAGCAGCCGC
rnacentral:rRNA from 1 species